GUUGAACACAUAUGAAACCACUUGGAAAGUAAAGUAGGAGUGGGAUCCCUUUUAUAUAUGUGAGAGCAUUCCUCUGUCUUGAUUCUCUUUAACAUACUUGAAACAAUUUCACAUUUGAAGCAAUUAGAAGCAGCAUUGCAAGUCAUUUUCAUGGGUCAACUAACCUUCCUCCUUACCUUGUUAAAGAGAACGAAAUGUCCUAGGGAAGAGGGAGAGAGCCUUUAAUGAAAUUCUGGAGCAGAAUUGAAUCUUCCGUUAUCUGAUGACAUAUGCAUUAUAAUUUUGCAUUACAGUAAGACUUUCUGAAAUAGCUUGUCUGCUUUGCUCUUUCAUUGAAUUUGCCAUAAUUUAGCUAAGUGGUUGACUUCUUGACUGCAGGUCCAACUGCAAGGCAUAGCUUACAUUAUUGUGGUGAAAAUUAAUAGACCUCUGCAAAUUUAGAAGCAGUGUGAAACACUAGCUCAUUUUGAUGCAUAAUGUGUUAGAGAGACCCAAUAAACAUUCAUUUGAACAGCCAAGCACCUGCAGAACUGCUCAAAUAUGAAAAUCACUGGAAUUUUGGUUGAGGCAAAGUUGAAGCAGUACAGAACUCUCUUUUUUUUCCUAUUAAGAAGCGGCAUCCUGUGUAUGAUACAAAGUUACUAUUGCUGUUUGGCUUAAAUCAUCAGCAAAAAUAUGAACUGGGUCUUUGAACAGACUUUUGUUGGUACUAGGUCCCUUCGAUUUGGUGGGGCUUGAUGGACAAAUGAAACUUUACCAACAGAACUUUGAUCCCUGGUAUGACUGGGAAACAGAGGAGUCUAUUCCUGCAAGCUUGUUGUCAUGGCUUUUCCCAACUUCGAAAGUGUACCAGACACUCUAAUGGAAAUCCUAUUCCAACAUCAUUCCUCUUUGAACUGAACGUAUUAGGAACAAGGACAGUUGUGCUGUAUUCAAAAUGGGAUAAUGUGCAGAACUUAACCAUUUGAAAUCUAUAUGGACACAAUCCAUUAUUAUGAGGGUUCGAGUUGGUAUCAGAGGGCUAACAUAUCAUGAGAAACUAAUAUCAGAAAUACAUGUUUGUCAAAUGAAAUUACAUAAUGUGAAGCACAAACAUAUACAGCAAAUGCAAGCUCAUUAUUCCAAUAUGGAUAUAGCCUUUAUUAUUGGGACUGAAAUGGAAAUUUUACAAGGCA
rnacentral:misc_RNA from 1 species